UACGAAGGGGGCUAGCGUUGCUCGGAAUCACUGGGCGUAAAGGGUGCGUAGGCGGGUCUUUAAGUCAGGGGUGAAAUCCUGGAGCUCAACUCCAGAACUGCCUUUGAUACUGAGGAUCUUGAGUUCGGGAGAGGUGAGUGGAACUGCGAGUGUAGAGGUGAAAUUCGUAGAUAUUCGCAAGAACACCAGUGGCGAAGGCGGCUCACUGGCCCGAUACUGACGCUGAGGGCACGAAA
rnacentral:rRNA from 1 species